rnacentral:rRNA from 1 species
GGUGAAGCCGCGAAUGGCUAUUACAACAGCCGUUGUUUCUUGGAUCUUACUUUACUUGGAUAACUGUGGUAAUUCUAGAGCUAAUACAUGCAACUCAGCUCCGACCUUACGGAAGGAGCGCAUUUAUUAUACAGGUUCGACGGCGAUCAGAUACAUGUUUGGUGACUCUGAAUAACUAUGCUGAUCACAUGGUCCUAGUACUGGUGACAUAUCUUUCAAGUGUCUGCCCUAUCAACUUUCGAUGGUAGUUUAUGUGCCUACCAUGGUUGUAACGGGUAACGGAGAAUAAGGGUUUGACUCCGGAGAGGGAGCCUGAGAAAUGGCUACCACAUCCAAGGAAGGCAGCAGGCGCGCAAAUUACCCACUCUCAGAUUGAGGAGGUAGUGACGAAAAAUAACGAGAUGGUUCUCUUUGAGGCCCAUCAUCGGAAUGGGUACAAUUUAAACCCUUUAACGAGGAUCUAUUGGAGGGCAAGUCUGGUGCCAGCAGCCGCGGUAAUUCCAGCUCCAAUAGCAUAUACCAAUUCUGCUGCUGUUAAAAAGCUCGUAGUUGGAUCUUUUCUGAAGAUCCAGUCUGUCUGAAGGACAUGUACUGGUUUCUGAGGAUAAUUCAGCUGGUUUUCUCAUGGUGCCCUUGAUUGAGUGCCAUGGGUGGCUGGCAAGUUUACUUUGAAAAAAUUAGAGUGCUCAAAACAGGCGAUUCUGCCCGAAUAGUGGUGCAGUGCUUGUUCAAAGAUAAGCCAUGCAUGUCUAAGCAUGAGCCGAAUUAUGGUGAAGCCGCGAAGGAUCAUUACAACGCCGUUGUUU